GAGGGAAUGAAGUUGGAAUGCACAUGACUUUGAGAUAGCCAGUGUCUGUCCUUCUCUCUAGCUGAACAAGACUUCUCUGAAUCUUAACAUAUCAGUGGAACAAGAUAAUGAAAUACAGAACCUGAAACCAGCCACAGUGCAUGUCUAUGACUACUAUAAACCAGAUGACCGCACAGCAAGAGAAUACAGUUCCCCUUGCAGUUCAGAUGUCUAGAUCAAAGAUUCUGAAAAGAACACCAUUGUUCUGGAACCAGUAAUCUGAGUUUCCUGCUUUCAUAAGGAAAACAUCAUUACUCUGGCUUUCCUGCUGU
rnacentral:lncRNA from 1 species